rnacentral:lncRNA from 1 species
UAUCAGCCUUGUUCAUAUCACUGCAAUGGUGCUGGCUCAACGUGGGGUUUUCAAGCUCCUGUUGAAGUCAGUGUGUGUUUGGAAACUCAGGCCUCAGAUGAGGUGCUCCUGUUCCUGAGAAAUCGCUCAGGCACUGAUGGUAAAACCUUGGCCACCUCUAAGCCUGCAGCAGACCCUUGCUGGAUUCCUCUCUUAAAGCCUGUUAAGAAGAAGGAACAAGAACUAUUUGGGAGAGAAGUCUGCCUUCCUAAGUGCAGUAGGUUAGAUUAUGAUUUUCUCUUCUGGCCAUUGGGUUUUUGCUCAGAAGCUGUGAUGAACUGGAGGCACAAAGUUUGGAGCAAGAGGCAGACUCCUUAAAAAGCUUCCUGUAUUCAAGUAAGACCUUAAUUCUGCUUUUUGGCUCAGUAGUGUGUGUGCUGCAGAUAACUGUUGCCUAGCAGGUGAAUUAAUAUUUUUGUCCAUGUAGGAAGAGCGUGAGAUUGGCAUUUAAAAAAAAAAAAAAAUCUUUUAAAAGCAAGGAAGCCCGAGAUGUUGCAUGGAUUUAAUGAGGCCUGCUCUUGAGGUGCUGAGGUAACAGAGUCACUCUCCUGAAAGUUAAUUAUGUGCUAGUGUACGAAGCCUAAGCCCUCACCAAGUUGCUUUGUUAUGGAAGUUACUAUGGAUUUAGGAUUAAAUCCUGUGAUGCAUCAUCAGUCCUGCGGGCGUCAGCUGGAGUGAAGGGCUCAGCACCUCAGAGGACUGGCAGCAUUGCAGGAGCUCAUUAGGAAAAGGAAUUAUUAAUUAUUCUGCACUGCCUUUCCACUGUAGGAUUUGAAACAUAUAGCAGGUAGUGCUCUGAGCCCUCACCCAACAAAGUACCUGCUGGCUGUUUACAUCUGGAGUUUAUUUUAUGGAGAGUUUACUAGUGAAUAUUUUGGUGGUUGGUAAAGUAUGUGUUUCAUCUUACACAAAACUAGACUCUGAUGUAUUUUGUGAGCGCAGACUGAUUUUUUUUUGCAUAGGAAUGAACUAUUAUUUUUCUAAUCUCUUAAAGAAAUCUUUCUU